GACGAACGCUGGCGGCGUGCUUAACACAUGCAAGUCGAACGGAAAGGCCCUGCUUUUGUGGGGUGCUCGAGUGGCGAACGGGUGAGUAACACGUGAGUAACCUGCCCUUGACGUUGGGAUAACUUCAGGAAACUGGGGAUAAUACCGGAUAGGAGCGCCUGCUGCAUGGUGGGGGUUGGAAAGUUUCGGCGGUUGGGGAUGGACUCGCGGCUUAUCAGCUUGUUGGUGGGGUAGUGGCCUACCAAGGCUUUGACGGGUAGCCGGCCUGAGAGGGUGACCGGCGACAUGGGGACUGAGAUACGGCCCAGACUCCUACGGGAGGCAGCAGUGGGGAAUAUUGCACAAUGGGCGCAAGCCUGAUGCAGCAACGCCGCGUGCGGGAUGACGGCCUUCGGGUUGUAAACCGCUUUCGCCUGUGACGAAGCGUGAGUGACGGUAAUGGGUAAAGAAGCACCGGCUAACUACGUG
rnacentral:rRNA from 1 species